rnacentral:rRNA from 1 species
AUUGAACGCUGGCGGCAGGCCUAACACAUGCAAGUCGAGCGGAGCGGCGGACGGGCGAGUAAUGCCUAGGAAUCUGCCUGGUAGUGGGGGAUAACGUCCGGAAACGGGCGCUACUACCGCAUCCUAUCAGAUGAGCCUAGGUCGGUUUAGCUAGUUGGUGGGGUAAAGGCCUACCAAGGCGACGAUCCGUAACUGGUCUGAGUGGAUGAUCAGUCACACUGGAACUGAGACACGGUCCAGACUCCUAGGGGAGGCAGCAGUGGGGAAUAUUGCACAAGGGGCGCAAGCCUGAUGCAGCAAUGCCGCGUGUGGGAGGAAGGCCUUCGGGUUGUAAAGCACUGUCAGCGGGGAGGCGUUACCCGCAGAGGAAGCACCGGCUAACUCCGUGCCAGCAGCCGCGGUAAUAC